rnacentral:lncRNA from 1 species
UUGACACAUUUGAUAUUUUUCAACGUCUGACACGGUCCAUAUGAUUGAGUUCAACUUGAAGAUUAUGUUUGGAAAAAAGAUAAAAGAUACUCCGACUUUAACACAAGUCCAAAUAACCCAAAAGGCUUUUCAAACUACAGUCCAACAGACCACCACCAUCCGUUCGUUACCCACAUAACACAUCGUUGAAUGCUUCUAUGUUUUGGCCUAUACCAAUAUAGAGAUAACACUGAGAAAAUUGUGAAUAGAUUAGAGAAAAAGGAAGAGGAAGACAAGGAAUUAAUACAGCAGCUUAUAGUACUACAAUAAAUGAGUAUUUUAGUUAACAAUUUGUGAAAUUUAUGAAGGCCGAACAAAUUUAUUUUGCAGAAAAGAGGAUUCUACACAAAAAAUAUAUUUCUAUUAAUACAAUUAGAAUUGUAACAAGGUGGAAAUAAUUUAGCACAUGCGAUAAAGACUGAUACACAAGUAGCAUAAAUCGAAGGGAAAAAGCUAGACCAAUGCAUAUACAAAAAUGAAGAUCAUUCUAAUUAAAUUAGUCUCGUAUCUUUAGUACACUUCUAAGUUCAAGGAACUAGUGUGAAAGAAAUUAUCAUUGGUAUGAACUGUAUAAUUGAUGAAGUAAAAUUAUUCACCUGCUCAAUCUCAAAAAUUUAAUUAAGUUGCCACCAUUGUUAUCAUGGGGAUUAUGUCGUCCUCAAAGAAAAAUAAAAAUUUACACACAAGUAUAACAACAACAAUAUAACAAGUACUACUGACCUCAAUUCAUCUUUUCUAUAGGGC